rnacentral:sRNA from 1 species
UUGAAUAGUUGGAAACUGAAGAUUUAUCUACCAAAGAGACAGAGUAAAAGUAACAGCUGUGAAAGGAUUCCAAACAGAAUACCCCUAACCAAAGUGCCUCAAACCUAUAUCAAAGUGACCACCUCUAAGAGUGAGAAGGUAAUCAAUUUACAUGCCCAUUCAAUCCUUGGUCUGU